CAAAUAAGUUCCCCGACGCUACCGGUGUUCCCUAGGUCAUACUUUGAAUUCUUAUCUUCCAUUUGAAGUGCUCUUGUUUAUGUUUUUAAGCUCUUUAAUUUUUUUAUUACAGACAUUUUUUUAUGAUUUUGAUGGAUUUUGGACACACAAAUGAACAUAACUUCCCCCGCUCAGAAGAGUUUAACCUUUUUCCGCUAGGUGGCUCUUUUUCACGGGAAUGAAAUGAUGGAAAAGUCGUCUGCUUCUCAUUCCGUCGAUGGUCGAUCGUUAUUUGUUGAAAUUAGCUGGAAUGGAAACUCGGAUGAUGACAUUGUGAAUUUCCUGAAAUGGACCAUUUCACUACGUAGUUCGUACCGUACCUAUUCGCUUCAUAAUCAUCAUGUUUGCAAUCCAAAACGAACUAGAUUCGGUUUGUAUAAAUUGACUCACCUGCAGCUAUUACGACUGGAUUUCACCACUUAAUUCUACACCGCACAGAUGAAUCUUCUUUUCUCAUCCUUCCCCGUCCUUGUCCUCGUGUACAUUCAUGCGAGUGUGAAGGUAUUCACGAGGACUUCCUAUUCAUUGUUUUUUUUUCGCAAACUGUUUGGCGGUUUGUUCCAUCACUUCACAGCUCAGGUGCCUUAGUAUUUGAAACAACCCUCCAAGCUUCCGUGGAAAGAGAGCAGCGUCUACCGUCGCAUCUUAAGUCCUUAAGGUCAGUCAUUUUAAUUGUCGAUAGUGU